rnacentral:lncRNA from 1 species
UGGGGGGGGCGAGGUCAAAUCAUGAUGUGGGGGGGGGCGAGGUCAAAUCAUGAUGUGGGGGGGACAAGAGACGCCUCUGUGGAGACCCCUCUGUGGAGGUGGAGACCCCUCUGUGGAGGUGGAGACCCCUCUGUGGAGGUGGAGACCCCUCUGUGGAGGUGGAGACCCCUCUGUGGCGGAUAUUGAUUCAGAUGUUUCUGGAGCCAUGACAUGAGAAAAUGUGUUUUUCAUUUUAUUUGUUUAUUAGGAUCCCCAUUAGCUAGCUAGGGGACAGCAAGUCUUACUGGGGAAACAACAUAUAAUGAAAAAUACUUUACAGACAAAUUACUUUACAGUUUAAAUACAUUUAAAAACAGUAACAUAUAAUGUGUGUGUAUUUAUCAGUGACACAUACAUGUCAGUACACACACAACCAGUAGGUCACAUGUCAGUACACACGACCAGUAGGUCACAUGUCAGUACAAACACACAACCAGUAGGUCACAUAUCAGUACAAACACACGACCAGUAGGUCACAUAUCAGUACACACACACACGACCAGUAGGUCACAUAUCAGUACACACACACACGACCAGUAGGUCACAUAUCAGUACACACAACCAGUAGGUCACAUGUCAGCAGCAGCACGGCCAGGUGGACUGGGGACAUGUCAGUACAUGUUCCAUGCACUCAUGGCUCUGGAUAAUACUGCACGUUUUCUUGAAUUUGUUCUGGAUUUGGGGACUGUGAAAAGACCCCUGGUGGCAUGUCUGGUGGGUGAAGAGCCAAGACGGGCCGCUCUGUUCUGGACCAGCUGCAGCUUAACUAGGUCUUUGCAGCACUCGACCACACGACUGGACAAUAAUCAAGAUAAGAUAAAACUAGAGCCUGCAGAACUUGCUUUGUGGAGUGUGGUGUCAAAAAAGCAGAGCAUCUCUUUAUUACGGACAGACCUCAUUCCCCCAUCUUUACAACCAUUGAAUCUGUAUGUUUUGACCUUGUUGACAGUUUACAAUGUAAGGUAACAACAAGUAAUUUAGUCUCCUCAACUUGUUCAACAGCCACACCAUUCAUUACCAGAUUCAGC